AUGGACGUGUUGUCGCACCUCAGAGAACAUCAGCUCCGGUCCAUGUGCAUGACGGCCAGGUAUGAGUGCUACGAGGCCAGCCGUGUGCUCUUCUACGCUGACAGCAUCUCCACCUGCUGGUUCGUCCUUCUGUCGGGAUCAGUGCUGGUGAAGGAGCACAUGUAUCUGGCCCGGUGCUGUUUUGGGACACAGCGUGGAGGAAGACGAGGCUGUGAAUGCAUCACUCUAGAGCCGUCAGAGAUGAUUGUGGUGAGUGGAGCAACACAAAGACACACACACACACACACACACACACAUCCUCCAAUAGCAGACGAAGAUGAAGCUCAGGCUGACUGGACACAGGAUGAAGCACACACACACACACACACACACACACAUGCUUCCAAGACCAUUCAUCAGUAGGUAGUGUGUACUAAAGUGAGCACUAGUAAGGGCACUGAUGAGCUUGGUUCACUACACUGAGUGUGACAUGAGAGCGUCCUCAUCACAACUGUCCAUCAUCAACACUGGAGUUCAUAAACGAGCAACAUUGAAACCAUUAAACAGUUUUACCUGUUUGCUGGAUUGUCUCUAACCUCACCUGUCUAGCUCUGUUUGUUCAUGUGUAAAUAUUCAUGUGUUUUGCAACAUGUAAUGAAUUUGUGCUUUGCUGUGACUUACACUGGCCACAUGAAGCCAUCAGAGUGGACACAGAGGGGUGAACUGUGGCGCAUCUUAGUGCACAAUACAGUAUAUUAUUAUCUGUUAAUGUGACUGAAAACCAAAUAUAAGAUAUAAGCAAAACUCUAUAUUUGAAUUCUAAAGGCGAUCCUUAAUGUUACAGGAAAAGUAGAGCACUGUCUGCUAUUCCCACAAGAGGGCGCAACCGAGCAAAAUAAGCAGGCAAAAACAGAUUAAUGCAUCACAUCUAUUAAAAUGAAAUGACGCUCACUUUUUAAAGCGCAUAAACUUACAAACAACUGUUCUUAAUAAAACACAAUUUACUUAAUGUGAAUGAAAGGGAAAUUAGGACUAAAGUAAACUGAAGCUAUCGAUUUUAUUUAUUAUUUAUUUUAUUUUGGCUAGAAUAAAAACAGUUGUUCAUUGAUUUAAAGCCAUUUUAGGCUCAAUAUUAUUGGCCCUUUCAGCAAUAUUAGUGUUGGAUUUUCUCCAGAACAAACCACUGUUAUACAAUGACUUGCCUAAUUACCCUAACUUUACCCUAAUUACCCUAGUAAAGCCUUUACAUGUCACUUUAAGCUGAACACUAGUGUCUUGAGGAAUAUCUAGUCUAAUAUUAUGUGCUGUCAUCAUGGCAGAGAGACAAUAAAUCAGUUAUUAGAGAUGAGUUAUUAACACUAUUAUGAUUAGAAAUGUGCUGAAGAAAUCUGCUCUACGUUAAACAGAAAUUGGGAAAAUAAAUAUUCAGGAUGGAUAAUCAUUCUGUCUUCAACUGUGUGUACAAUAUAGAGUUUCAGUGAUACUCUUCAGUCGAGUCAUCAUCCUCUUCUCUGUUCCUCUGGGUUCUGCAAACUCUUAAGUGGCAUUUUCCAUGAACACACACUUUUAUCUGAAGUGACCUGCUAAUGAGGAACUCCUUAAAGCCGCAUGUGAUGCUGUGUAGCCCGAACAGGCCAUUUUAGUACAGUAGAGUUUCUGCAGACCUGUGAACAGCUCUCUGUAUAACCCUGCUGCUGUCCACUAGACUUUUUCAUUAGUGAUGCACCAAUCCUGAUUUUCCAUGGCGGAUUUUGAUAUUUCUAUUAGCAAAUUGGAUGAUUUGAUACAUAUUUUGGUCACACUUUACAAUAAGGUUCAUUAGUUAAUGUUAAUUAAUGCCUUUACUAACAUGAACAAACAAUGAACAGUACAUUUACUACAGUAUUUGUUCAUGUUAGUUAACAUUAGUUAAUGAAAAUACAGUAGUUCAUUGUUACUUCAUGUUAACUCAUGGUGCAUUAACUAAUGUUAACAAGCAUGGACUUGGAUGUUAAUAAUGCUUUAGUAAAUGUUCAGUUAUGAUUAAUAAAUGCUGUACAUGUGUUGUUCAUGAUUAGUUCAUGUUAGUAAAUGCAUUAAUAAUGAACUUUAUUGUAAAGUGUUUCCCAUAUUUUCUAUGUUUUAGCAAAAUCAGUGAUUCGAUAGCAAUUUUUGUUUUUAUUCACUAGCAAAUUAAAUUAGAUUUGUUACAGAUUUCUGAUGUUUUACUCAGAUACUUUUUACUUAGAUAUUUUUACUAGCAAACUAGAC
rnacentral:lncRNA from 1 species